rnacentral:rRNA from 1 species
GAUGAACGCUGGCGGCGUGCCUAAUACAUGCAAGUCGAGCGAUCGGACGAGAAGCUCGGUUCUCUUGUGUUAGCGACGGAUGGGUGAGUAACACGUGGAUAACCUACCUAUAAGACUUGGCUAACGUCAGGAAACCGGAGCUAAUAACGGAUAAUAUUUUUAACCGCAUGGUUCAAAAGUGGAAGACGGUCUUGCUGUCACUUGUAGAUGGAUCCGCGCUGCAUUAGCUAGUUGGUAAGGUAACGGCUGACCAACGCAUCGAUGCAUAGCCGACCUGAGCGGGUGGACGGCCACCCGGGAACUGAGACACGGUCCACAGUCCUACGGGAGGCAGCAGUAGGGAGUCUUCCGCAAUGCACGAAGGCCUGACGGAGGAACGCCGCGUGAGGGAUGAGGGUCUUCGGAUCGUAGAUCUCUGUUAUCAGGGAAGAACAUAUGUGUAAGUAACUGUGCACGUCGUGACGGCACCUAAUCAGAAAGCCACGGCUAACUACGUG